rnacentral:rRNA from 1 species
AUUGAACGCUGGCGGCAGGCUUAACACAUGCAAGUCGAGCGGGGGAAGGUAGCUUGCUACCGGACCUAGCGGCGGACGGGUGAGUAAUGCUUAGGAAUCUGCCUAUUAGUGGGGGACAACAUCUCGAAAGGGAUGCUAAUACCGCAUACGUCCUACGGGAGAAAGCAGGGGAUCUUCGGACCUUGCGCUAAUAGAUGAGCCUAAGUCGGAUUAGCUAGUUGGUGGGGUAAAGGCCUACCAAGGCGACGUACUGUAGCGGGUCUGGGAGGAUGAUCCACCACGCUGAGACGGGGACACGGCCCGACCUCCCACGGAAGGCAGCAGUGGGGCAUAUUGGACAAUGGGGGGACCCCUGAUCCAGCCAUGCCGCGUGUGUGAAGAAGGCCUUAUGGUUGUACAGCACUUUAAGCGAGGAGGAGGCUACUCUAGUUAAUACCUAGGGAUAGUGGACGUUACUCGCAGAAUAAGCACCGGCUAACUCUGUGCCAGCAGCCGCGGUAA